CCUAUUCCCCCAGCAGAUAUAGCAUAGGCAGUAAAAAUGCAAGCAUCCCCACACCACCAUGUAAAUAUGCCUCAACCCUGAGUGGAGUAAUCUUCUCUGUGGGUCAGAGG
rnacentral:sRNA from 1 species